rnacentral:rRNA from 1 species
GACGUAGGGGGCGAGCGUUGUCCGGAUUUAUUGGGCGUAAAGCGUGCGUAGGCGGCUGCGCAAAUCGGGUGUGAAACCCCGGGGCUCAACCCCGGAACUGCAUCCGAUACUGCGUGGCUAGAGGUAGGUAGGGGAGAUCGGAAUUCCUGGUGUAGCGGUGAAAUGCGCAGAUAUCAGGAGGAACACCGGUGGCGAAGGCGGUCUGCUGGGCAGUAGCUGACACUGAGGCGCGACAGCGUGGGGAGCAAACAGG